AGUAAAUAGAUACCCCGGUAGUCCACGCCGUAAACGAUGAGUACUAGGUGUAGGAGGUAUCGACUCCUUCUGUGCCGCAGUUAAACACAAUAAGUACUCCGCCUGGGAAGUACGGUCGCAAGAUUAAAACUCAAAGGAAUUGACGGGGGCCCGCACAAGCAGCGGAGCAUGUGGUUUAAAUUCGAAGCAACGCGAAGAACCUUACCUAGACUUGACAUCUCCUGAAUAGUGUAGAGAUACAUGAAGCCCUUCGGGGCAGGAAGACAGGUGGUGCAUGGUUGUCGUCAGCUCGUGUCGUGAGAUGUUGGGUUAAGUCCCGCAACGAGCGCAACCCUUAUUACUAGUUGCUACCAUUAAGUUGAGCACUCUAGUGAGACUGCCCGGGUU
rnacentral:rRNA from 1 species